GGAUGAGACCCUUUCGGGGGUACACGAGGGGCGAACGGGUGAGUAACACGUGGGUGCCCUGCCCUCCACUUUGGGAUAAGCCCGGGAAACUGGGUUUAAUACCGGAUAGGACCCCUUUUCGCAUGGUUGGUGGUGGAAAGUUUUUUUGGUGGGGGAUGGGCCCCGCGGCCUUUCAGCUUGUUGGUGGGGUGAUGGCCUACCAAGGCGGUGACGGGUAGCCGGCCCUGAGAGGGCGACCGGCCCCCCUGGGACUGAGACCCGGCCCAGAUUCCUACGGGAGGCAGCAGUGGGGAAUAUUGCGCAAUGGGCGGAAGCCUGACGCAGCGACGCCGCGUGGGGGAUGACGGCCUUCGGGUUGUAAACCUCUUUCGCCAGGGACGAAGAGCAAUUGACGGUACCUGGAGAAGAAGCACCGGCCAACUACGUGCCAGCAGCCGCGGUAACACGUAGGGUGCGAGCGUUGUCCGGAAUUAUUGGGCGUAAAGAGCUCGUAGGCGGUGUGUCGCGUCGGCCGUGAAAACUUGGGGCUUAACUCUGAGCGUGCGGUCGAUACGGGCAUCACUUGAGUUCGGCAGGGGAGACUGGAAUUCCUGGUGUAGCGGUGAAAUGCGCAGAUAUCAGGAGGAACACCGGUGGCGAAGGCGGGUCUCUGGGCCGAUACUGACGCUGAGGAGCGAAAGCGUGGGGAGCGAACAGGAUUAGAUACCCUGGUAGUCCACGCCGUAAACGUUGGGCGCUAGGUGUGGGGACCAUUCCACGGUUUCUGUGCCGCAGCUAACGCAUUAAGCGCCCCGCCUGGGGAGUACGGCCGCAAGGCUAAAACUCAAAGGAAUUGACGGGGGCCCGCACAAGCGGCGGAGCAUGUGGAUUAAUUCGAUGCAACGCGAAGAACCUUACCUGGGUUUGACAUGCACCAGACAUCCCUAGAGAUAGGGCUUCCCUUGUGGUUGGUGUGCAGGUGGUGCAUGGCUGUCGUCAGCUCGUGUCGUGAGAUGUUGGGUUAAGUCCCGCAACGAGCGCAACCCUUGUUCCAUGUUGCCAGCACGUAAUGGUGGGGACUCAUGGGAGACUGCCGGGGUCAACUCGGAAGGAAGGUGGGGAUGACGUCAAGUCAUCAUGCCCCUUAUGUCCAGGGCUUCACACAUGCUACAAUGGCUCAUACAGAGGGCUGCGAGACCGUGAGGUGGAGCGAAUCCCUUAAAGUGAGUCUCAUUUCGGAUCGGGGUCUGCAACUCGACCCCGUGAAGUUGGAGUCGCUAGUAAUCGCAGAUCAGCAACGCUGCGGUGAAUACUUUCCCGGGCCUUUUACACACCGCCCGUCACGUCACGAAAGUUGUUAACACCCGAACGCCGUGCCGAUGCCGCUUUGAGAAUUCCUAUGGGAAAAACCCAAAAGGAAAAAAAAACCUAAGGGAAUUCG
rnacentral:rRNA from 1 species